GACGAACGCUGGCGGCGUGCUUAACACAUGCAAGUCGAACGAAGUGGCGAACGGGUGAGUAACGCGUAAUCAACCUGCCCUUCAGAGGGGGACAACAGUUGGAAACGACUGCUAAUACCGCAUACUGAAGGAGGGGAUUGCGUCUGAUUAGCUAGUUGGAGGGGUAACGGCCCACCAAGGCGAUGAUCAGUAGCCGGUCAGGGGGGGUGAACGGCCACCGUGGGACUGGGACACGGCCCCGACUCCUACGGGAGGCAGCAGUGGGGACUCUUCCGGAAUGGACGAAAGUCUGACGGAGCAACGCCGCGGGAGUGAUGACGGCCUUCGGGUUGUAAAGAUCUGUUAAUCGGGACGCGGUACCGGAAUAGAAAGCCACGGCUAACUACGUGCCAGCAGCCGCGGUAAUUC
rnacentral:rRNA from 1 species